GGGUUUGUGGCGCAAUGGAUAACGCGCCUACGGAUCGAAAAACGAAAAAAACGAACUACGGAUCAGGAGAUUCCAGGUUCGACUCCUGGCAAGCUCG
rfam:Daphnia pulex DAPPTscaffold_640_Cont10430, whole genome shotgun sequence.